rnacentral:rRNA from 1 species
CAUAGGUUAAUGAGGCGAACCGGGGGAACUGAAACAUCUAAGUACCCCGAGGAAAAGAAAUCAACCGAGAUUCCCCCAGUAGCGGCGAGCGAACGGGGAGCAGCCCAGAGCCUGAAUCAGUGUGUGUGUUAGUGGAAGCGUCUGGAAAGGCGCGCGAUACAGGGUGACAGCCCCGUACACAAAAAUGCACAUACUGUGAGCUCGAUGAGUAGGGCGGGACACGUGGUAUCCUGUCUGAAUAUGGGGGGACCAUCCUCCAAGGCUAAAUACUCCUGACUGACCGAUAGUGAACCAGUACCGUGAGGGAAAGGCGAAAAGAACCCCGGCGAGGGGAGUGAAAAAGAACCUGAAACCGUGUACGUACAAGCAGUGGGAGCACGCUUAGGCGUGUGACUGCGUACCUUUUGUAUAAUGGGUCAGCGACUUAUAUUCUGUAGCAAGGUUAACCGAAUAGGGGAGCCGAAGGGAAACCGAGUCUUAACUGGGCGUUAAGUUGCAGGGUAUAGACCCGAAACCCGGUGAUCUAGCCAUGGGCAGGUUGAAGGUUGGGUAACACUAACUGGAGGACCGAACCGACUAAUGUUGAAAAAUUAGCGGAUGACUUGUGGCUGGGGGUGAAAGGCCAAUCAAACCGGGAGAUAGCUGGUUCUCCCCGAAAGCUAUUUAGGUAGCGCCUCGUGAAUUCAUCUCCGGGGGUAGAGCACUGUUUCGGCAAGGGGGUCAUCCCGACUUACCAACCCGAUGCAAACUGCGAAUACCGGAGAAUGUUAUCACGGGAGACACACGGCGGGUGCUAACGUCCGUCGUGAAGAGGGAAACAACCCAGACCGCCAGCUAAGGUCCCAAAGUCAUGGUUAAGUGGGAAACGAUGUGGGAAGGCCCAGACAGCCAGGAUGUUGGCUUAGAAGCAGCCAUCAUUUAAAGAAAGCGUAAUAGCUCACUGGUCGAGUCGGCCUGCGCGGAAGAUGUAACGGGGCUAAACCAUGCACCGAAGCUGCGGCAGCGACGCUGAUGCGUUGUUGGGUAGGGGAGCGUUCUGUAAGCCUGUGAAGGUGUGCUGUGAGGCAUGCUGGAGGUAUCAGAAGUGCGAAUGCUGACAUAAGUAACGAUAAAGCGGGUGAAAAGCCCGCUCGCCGGAAGACCAAGGGUUCCUGUCCAACGUUA